rnacentral:lncRNA from 1 species
CUCAAAGUAUUAACUGGGUACCGUGAACUGUGCACAGUGUCAGACACACAUGCUCAGCAUGGAUGUCCCACAAGCACCCCAUGAAGCAGAUCUCAUUAGCCAGCUUACACAUGAGGGCACCGAGGCUGAGAGAGAUCCAGUGCCUAUUUCAACGUCUCCUGCCAUUCUUGGGUGUUUGGGUUGGGACUCAAAUCCAACUCCACGUGACCCCAAAGCCUGUGCUCCCAGCUUGUUCUAGUGCCCAGCAUGUGAUGGGGCUUUGGAGAGAAGGGGUGUGGAGGUGGGUGGGUGCUUGAUGCCUAAUGCAGAGCACGAGUCAAGUCAGACUCCUUCCUUGGUCAGUCCCCAGAGCAGAGCCCCAGGAUGGGGGUGGAGGGAGGAGGCUCCCGUGGGAACCAAGCCAAGUCUUGAGAAAGACUCUGGGUGUAUUUUAGCGUGAAGUGAUUCUUCAAGGGGCCAGAUUUAGUGUUUCCCAGGUUGGAGGGAGGCAGGCACGGUGCAUUAAAAAUGACAGUGAGGAGUGUAAAUCAUCAGGCAUGGCCGCUUAGGUUUAUACACGUCGUCCGUAAUUCUGGCUCUGUUCCGGUUGUGAUCAGAAAUGAAAUACGGGCAAGCUGUGCCCGUUAUCGUGUACGGGCCUGGCGUCUUCCGGCUUAUUUAUCCUUCCUAAUCCAUUUGGCAAUGUCCAGGCCGCCAAAAAGCCGCCUGCCAUAAUGCCUCCUGGAUGUUUUUCAGCGGAGGAUCGUCCCUCCUCCCUGCCCUGCUCGGAGACAGCCGAGAGUCUGUGACUGUGGUGCACGGAGGCAGGGCCGAGAGCGCCCAGUGGACUCAGACACAGUUCCCUCUGCGUCUGAGAGCAAAGGGGCUCGGCGAUGAACUCGCUGCAUGACCUGCAGGGCCUCUGAGCCGCUCGGAGUCUCCCUUCCCAUCCGGGAUUGCCCUUGUCACACCCGUGCCAGCUCCAGCUCCAGCAUGGCUGCCAGACACAGAGAGCAGACACUGCCGCAAAGGUGCCUUGGGUUCACGGGAGAGAGAUGCCUGUCUGGUCUCUGCCAGCACCAGAAGGAAGACACAUCGGUCAGAGUAGGAGUUCAGCUAAGGACAGACCAGACCUUGGCCUGCUCUAGCUCCCAGGCGAGGCCUUCUUGGGGUUCUCCAGUAUUGGGAGCAAAUCAGAGCCUGGCUCUGGUGCCCAAGAGUGUGCCUGGUGCCCAGUGGGAGCUAUAGUUCUUAUUAUUUUGGGCACAGGGCUUCAUUCAGAAAGUGGAUGCGUGUAAUUAUAGCAAAGUUAUGAAUACUGUGAUCCUUUUCAUUUCUGUAACUAUGACUUCCAGACACCUGCUCCAUUCAAGAGAAAAAAAAAAAAUAGGUUUAGUUUGAAAAGUGCUUCUUCUGAAACAUGCAGUACCGAAUCUCUUCCGCUGAGGACGCGCCUCGAGGGAGGGCAGCGGCCGGGAGGGAAGGUGGGAGAGCUGAGGUGGGACGAGCUGCAUCCCCUCUUCCUGGGCGGGGGGCGCACUGUCCAGACCUAGGCCCAGGGUCAAUAACACGUGGCCACAGUCCUGACAGAAUAUUUUGCAUUCCUCACAGUGACAUCCAUGGAAAAAAAAUUUUUUUUUUUUUUUGCCUGCUUUUUAGGGCCGCACCCACAGCAUGUGGAGGUUCCCAGGCUAGGGGCUGAAUCAGCGCUGUAGCUGUUGGCCUACGCCACAGCCAUGCAGGAUCUGAGCUGCCUCUGAGACCUACACCACAGCUCACGGCAACGCCAGAUCCUUAACCCCCUGAGCGAGGCCAGGGAUUGAACCCAAAACCUCGUGGUUCCUCGUCAGACUUGUUUCCGCUGUGCCACAACGGGAACUCCCAUGGAAAGUUUUAAAUCCCAUGAAAAUGCCGAUGUAAAAAUAUUGAGUGAGAGGAAUUCCCGUCGUGGCGCAGUGGUUAACGAAUCCAACUAGGAACCAUGAGGUUGCGGGUUCGACCCCUGGCCUUGCUCAGUGGGUUAAGGAUCCGCCGUUGCCCUGAGCUGUGGUGUGGGUCGCAGAUUCGGCUCGGAUCCCUCGUUGCUGUGGCUCUGGCGUGGGCCAGUGGCUACAGCUCUGAUUAGACCCCUCUCCUGGGAACCUCCAUAUGCUGCAGGAGCAGCCCUAGAAAAGGCAAAAAAAAAAAAAAAAAAAAAAAAAUUGAGUGAGAAAACCAGAUGAUCCUGACUUCCUAAAAACUGACAACAUUUCUCACAUUUUAAAAAACCAUGGAAUUUCAUUUCUCUCCAAGAUGGAGUAUUAGGGACUGUAAAACGAUAGAAAAAUAAAUUAACGACACAGACUAGGGAGCCCCA